rnacentral:rRNA from 1 species
GACGAACGCUGGCGGCGUGCUUAACACAUGCCAGUCGAGCGGUAAGGCCUUUCGGGGUACACGAGCGGCGAACGGGUGAGUAACACGUGGGUGAUCUGCCCUGCACUUCGGGAUAAGCCUGGGAAACUGGGUCUAAUACCGGAUAUGACCUCCUAUCGCAUGGUGGGUGGUGGAAAGAUUUAUCGGUGCAGGAUGGGCCCGCGGCCUAUCAGCUUGUUGGUGGGGUAAUGGCCUACCAAGGCGACGACGGGUAGCCGACCUGAGAGGGUAACCGGCCACACUGGGACUGAGACACGGCCCAGACUCCUACGGGAGGCAGCAGUGGGGAAUAUUGCACAAUGGGCGAAAGCCUGAUGCAGCGACGCCGCGUGAGGGAUGACGGCCUUCGGGUUGUAAACCUCUUUCAGCAGGGACGAAGCGCAAGUGACGGUACCUGCAGAAGAAGCACCGGCUAACUACGUG